AGAUAAGGGGGUCAUCCAGCUGAGACAUCUGUCUCCCCUUUGAUCACCAGCAUUGUUGAUUCAGCUGACCUGACUGCCUUGGCCAGUGUCCCCUUUCUCCCUCAGGGCUCCCCACGUGUCCCUCCAGAAGGGGCGUCUUGCUGGGUCUAAGAGGACGACCCUCCCCAAAGGAGGAAGCCCAUUCUUCCCUCAGGGGCACAGAGGAGCUGCACUCCACUGCUGGAAGCUCCAAACAAGCUCUUGAGGUCCAUUUGUAAGCGAAGGUAGGCUAGUCAAGCUUCCAGGACACAACUUAAUGAGACUCUGCGUGUGGCAGUCUACCUUUCUAA
rnacentral:snRNA from 1 species